ensembl:lncRNA
UGAAAACAAGAUGGCCUAUCUCAAGGGGCUGUCCUUAAUGAAGUAGAAAUUACAACGUUACAACUCAGUGUGGUCUUAACGAGGGUAACACGGCUCAGCUUUUAUCAAUGUCUGUGAUUGCUGGCUGGUCUAUUUAUGAAGGCUUGUUAACAAAUAUCCUACAAACACAGAAAAUGGAGAAAAAAAGGAAUCGCAAGCCGAACUGGACUGAGGAGCAAGGUUUGUUGCUGGCCCAGUUGGUGAACGAACAUAAAGGUAUGUUACGAGGAAAAUUUGGCCCAACUGUCACUAGCCAAGGCAAGAGGCGCACUGGGACACAUUAUCCCAAACAAUCAAUGCCUCUUUUCCACUGGUGGUGCGGACAGGCGACGAUUGUGAGAAAAGGUGGUAUGUGCUGCAGUCCAAGGCAAAAGAUGAGAUUGCAGCACACAAGCGGGAAUCCUCACUCACAGGGGGUGGACCACCUGCAAAGCGGCUGUCCCAGGUGGCCGACACUGUCUUUCAAGUCCUGGGACACUCUGAGGUCAGUGUCACCGGGCUGCCAACAGGCAUUGACACGUCAAUGAUGCAGGCCCUUGAAAUGCAGCAAAGCAUGGAGCCAUCACAAGAACCGGGCCCAUCAAGUUUGCC